rnacentral:rRNA from 1 species
CCUANGGGGGGCAGCAGUGGGGAAUAUUGGACAAUGGGCGAAAGCCUGAUCCAGCCAUGCCGCGUGGGUGAAGAAGGCCUUAGGGUUGUAAACCCCUUUCAGCGGGGACGAUAAUGACGGUACCCGCAGAAGAAGUCCCGGCUAACUCCGUGCCAGCAGCCGCGGUAAUACGGAGGGGACUAGCGUUGUUCGGAAUUACUGGGCGUAAAGCGCACGUAGGCGGAUUUGUAAGUCAGGGGUGAAAUCCCGAGGCUCAACCUCGGAACUGCCUUUGAUACUGCAAAUCUCGAGUCCGGAAGAGGUGAGUGGAAUUCCUAGUGUAGAGGUGAAAUUCGUAGAUAUUAGGAAGAACACCAGUGGCGAAGGCGGCUCACUGGUCCGGUACUGACGCUGAGGUGCGAAAGCGUGGGGAGCAAACAGGAUUAGAUACCCCANUANUC